GGUAAGUACAGCUGAUUCAAAAUAUAUAAUAUGGAAAUCAUCACUAUGGAAUUCAGAUCACAUGGUCUGUAAUAUACCACUAAUUAUCCUGAAAUACAGAAAGAAUAUUGAAAUUUUCCAUGAUUUGUUAAAGGGACACUCCAGGUACCCAGCGUAGCUGGAAUCCCCAUACGAAAGCAUUGAAUGAUGCUUUCCAAUGGGGAGGUCUAACACACGCGGCCACUGCUGCGCAUGCGUAUUAGGUCUCCCCUCCUGACAUCAGCCAUGGGUAGAGCCUGACCCAGCGCUGAGGGACAUCAGAGUUGGAUUCAAGUAAGUGACUGAAAGGGUUUUAACUCAUUCAGCAACAUGGGAUGGGGUGGGUGGGAGGGGGGACACUGCAGAAUCCUGAUGUGCCAGGAAAAUUGGUUUGUUA